rnacentral:lncRNA from 1 species
CAUUUCACAUGUUGAAUAAAGUAAACAAAAAAUUAAUAAAAAAACGAGCUCUUUGUUAGAUUGUGAAGAUAAAUAAAUGGAUUUCGAUUGAAGUACCAAAUAGAAAAUAGGGCGAAAAAAGUAUUUGGCCGGAGGUAUAAACAUGAAUUUCAAAAAAUACGUCCUGCAAAGACAGUAUGUUAUCACAAGAUUUCCGAUACGAAACCUCGGAAGAAGCAGUGUAUUUUCAAAGUUCAAUACCUCCUAGCAUAGCAGAAGGAUGAUCGUCCCCAAAAAAAGAAAUAACAAUCUGAGGAGUAUGCAGAAUCUAUUCGACGAAAAUGAUAUACCGUCCACAGAACAUAUCGCUAUAAACCAGCAUCAACGGUGGAUUAGACAGAUAAUUAAGCUAGCUUCGUCCAACAUUACUGGUAGAAUGAAGAGUUUGUGAUAGCAAGCUGAUCCUGAAACUGGUUCUGCUAGGAGAUACGAACGCCAGCCAGAACAUGAACACAGUACGAAAAGUGGAGGUAGCAGUAAUAUCAACAUUGCUUUCAUACAAACACAAUAGCAAAGACUAGAUAGUACUAUGAGUACGAGUUAAACAAGGAAGAUCUGUUAAGUUUGGUUUCAAGAGCGAAGGCGAAAUUUUAACGCCUCUAAUCGAAAUAUAUGAUCUAAUGUAUACUUUUUGAAGAUUUCGAAAAAACUCACAGGCAAAUCAAGUUGAAAACAUUUGGGAAGAGGCGAGUCGUGUUUUGAAUAUUGUCGUUGAAGAAGAGGGAUUACUCUGGGGAUGAAGCGGCAUGACAACCGUUUAUACGUUGAAUGUCAAUAAACAGCAAUAUAGAAUUCAGAAGUGGCUGCAGCAAUCAGCGUUAGGAGGUCGACAAGACAAACCAAGUAUUGAAAACAAAAUCAAUCGGAACAGAGAGCCGGUGACAACCGACUAUCAAGACCUGUGCAAGGUCAAUAAAAAUAAAACUUAAAAACUGGGCCAAUCAAUAAUAGU